rnacentral:rRNA from 1 species
CCUACGGGGGGCAGCAGUGGGGAAUAUUGGACAAUGGGGGGAACCCUGAUCCAGCCAUGCCGCGUGUGUGAAGAAGGCCCUCGGGUUGUAAAGCACUUUCAGUGAGGAAGAACGCCUGGUGGUUAAUACCCAUCAGGAAAGACAUCACUCACAGAAGAAGCACCGGCUAACUCCGUGCCAGCAGCCGCGGUAAUACGGAGGGUGCGAGCGUUAAUCGGAAUUACUGGGCGUAAAGCGCGCGUAGGUGGCUUGAUAAGCCGGUUGUGAAAGCCCCGGGCUCAACCUGGGAACGGCAUCCGGAACUGUCAAGGUAGAGUGCAGGAGAGGGAGGUAGAAUUCCCGGUGUAGCGGUGAAAUGCGUAGAGAUCGGGAGGAAUACCAGUGGCGAAGGCGGCCUUCUGGACUGACACUGACACUGAGGUGCGAAAGCGUGGGUAGCAAACAGGAUUAGAUACCCCGGUAGC